CUACGUGCCAGCAGCCGCGGUAAUACAGAGGGUGUAAGCGUUAAUCGGAAUUACUGGGCGUAAAGCGAGCGUAGGUGGUCAUUUAAGUCAGAUGUGAAAUCCCCGGGCUUAGCCUGGGAACUGCAUCUGAUACUGGGUGACUAGAGUAGGUGAGAGGGAAGUAGAAUUCCAGGUGUAGCGGUGAAAUGCGUAGAGAUCUGGAGGAAUACCGAUGGCGAAGGCAGCUUCCUGGCAUCAUACUGACACUGAGGUUCGAAAGCGUGGGUAGCAAACAGGAUUAGAUACCCUGGUAGUCCACGCCGUAAACGAUGUCUACCAGUCGUUGGGUCUCUUGAAGACUUAGUGACGCAGUUAACGCGAUAAGUAGACCGCCUGGGGAGUACGGCCGCAAGGUUAAAACUCAAAUGAAUUGACGGGGGCCCGCACAAGCGGUGGAGCAUGUGGUUUAAUUCGAUGCAACGCGAAGAACCUUACC
rnacentral:rRNA from 1 species